rnacentral:rRNA from 1 species
AAUAGAUACCCGGUAGUCCACGCCGUAAACGAUGUCGACUUGGAGGUUGUGCCCUUGAGGCGUGGCUUCCGGAGCUAACGCGUUAAGUCGACCGCCUGGGGAGUACGGCCGCAAGGUUAAAACUCAAAUGAAUUGACGGGGGCCCGCACAAGCGGUGGAGCAUGUGGUUUUAAUUCGAUGCAACGCGAAGAACCUUACCUACUCUUGACAUCCAGAGAACUUAGCAGAGAUGCUUUGGUGCCUUCGGGAACUCUGAGACAGGUGCUGCAUGGCUGUCGUCAGCUCGUGUUGUGAAUGUUGGGUUAAGUCCCGCAACGAGCGCAACCCUUAUCCUUUGUUGCCAGCGGUUAGGCCGGGAACUACAAAGGAGACUGCCAGUGAUAAACUGGAGGAAGGUGGGGAUGACGUACAAGCCAUCAUGGCCCUUACGAGUAGGGCUACACACGUGCUACAAUGGCAUAAUAACAAAGAGAAGCGACCUCGCGAGAGCAAGCGGACCUCAUAAAGUAUGUCGUAGUCCGGAUUGGAGU